AGUCGUAACAAGGUAUCCGUAGGUGAACCUGCGGAUGGAUCAUUACCAAAGGAAAUAACUUCCUACGCACUGUGAACUGUUUUGACUGACAGUCAGUGACUGUUUGCCCUAUAGCGGAAUUUCCCCUAGGGGACGUUCCCUACUGUAGGGCGGCGUUGCUGACUGUAUCUACUAAACGUACUGUAACUUUUAGACUGAACUACUUUAGUAUGAACUAAAGACAACUUUUAGCAAUGGAUCUCUUGGUUCUC
rnacentral:misc_RNA from 1 species